UACGUAGGGACCGAGCGUUGUCCGGAUUCAUUGGGCGUAAAGAGCUCGUAGGCGGCCACUCAAGUCGAAUGUGAAACCUCGAGGCUUAACCUCGAGCCUGCAUUCGAUACUGCGGUGCUUGAGGACUGGAGAGGAGACUGGAAUUCAUGGUGUAGCAGUGAAAUGCGUAGAGAUCAUGAGGAAGACCAGUGGCGAAGGCGGGUCUCUGGACAGUUCCUGACACUGAGGCACGAAGGCCAGGGGAGCAAACGGG
rnacentral:rRNA from 1 species